rnacentral:sRNA from 1 species
GUUGGGCUUGGUGGUGCAUGCCUGUAGUCCUAGUGACUUGGGAGGCUGAGUCAGGAGGAUCACAAGUUCAACCAGUCUCAAAACCUCAGCAAGCCUUAAGCAAAUAGUGAGAUCCUGUCUCAA